GAUGAACGCUGGCGGCGUGCCUAAUACAUGCAAGUCGAGCGAACAGAUAAGGACCUUGCUCCUUUGACGUUUGCGGCGCGGGGGUGAGACACACGUGUAUACCCUCUCUUUACGACUGGGAUAACUUCGAGAAACCGGCUCAAACCCCGUAUAACAUAUUGAUCCGCAUCAUUCACUAGAAAAGGGCGAUUUUAUCACUACUUGUAGAUCGUGCGGCGCGUUAUUAGCUAGUUGGUAAGAUAACGCAUUACCAAGGCAACGAUACGUAGCCGACCGGAGAGGGUGGUCGGCCAACCUGGAACUGAGACACGGUCCAGACUCCUACGGGGGGAAGCAGUAGGGAAUCUUCCGAAAUGGGCGAAGGCCUGACGGAGCAACGCCGCGUGAGUGAGGAAGGUCUUCGGAUCGUAAGACUCUGUGAUCAGGGAAGACCAAAUGUGUAAGUAACAGUGCACAUCGUGACGGUACCUGAUCAGAAAGCGACGGCUAACUACGUG
rnacentral:rRNA from 1 species